CUCGUCCUUCAAAGCACAUGGGGAUUGGGAAUAGUGGGAUGCCUUGGCUGGACUUCGUGUGAUGGCCUUAGACAAUUCAACAAGAAUCAUGUUGUUGUAUUUGUUUAUUGGCAUAAAGAAUUUUCCCUUCUUUUUUAAUGGCUUCCUAACACUCUAGUUUCUUAUCCAAUCUUGUUUACUACAAGUCAUUAACAAAUCGGACCUUUUGUACAAAAAGAACAAU
rnacentral:lncRNA from 1 species